CAGUUACUUUAUUAAAGUUUUCAUCUGUUGAACAUUCAAAAUAUAACUUUUCAGCUUCUUUACGUUUUCUAGCAGCCUCUGUACAUUCACUGUCCCACCAAGGUGGAGAAGGUAUUCCACAGCCUACUUUUUUCAUCGGAAAAAGUUCAUUAGCUAUCUCUAUAAACGCUCCGGCAAAUGUCUCUGCACAAAAGGUUUCAUUUCCAGGUGUUACAGGAGGGAAACAACAAAUUUUACUUUCCAUUCGAGAUUUAAAAGUAUUCCAGUCGGCAUUCAAUAAUCUAUAUUUCAAACGAAUCCGUUUUCGAACAGUUUCGUGUUGAAAAGGCAGAGUGAUAAUAAGACUAUAAUGAUCACUUCCAAAAGUGUAUUUAAGGGCUUCCCAAGAAAGAUAUGGAGCAAGAUUUGGGGUGCAAAUUGAUAAGUCUGGAGCACUCUUUCCCUGUGAAGGAGAGGUGCGACGGGUAGGUGAACCAGUAUUAAGGAUACAAAGGAAUUACGCUCCUGCAGUUCCACUGGAGAACUUUGGAAUUUAGGUCCAUUAUGGAGUGUUUUAGAGAUUUGUGCAAGAGAAUCAAUGAGAGCUGCGUUGGACGGUGGAAUUAAGUUUGACUGCGAAAGAAUCGACCUAAAGACACAGGAUGCAAAGAAACCCCAUCAUCAGGCGAUGUCAGCUUAUGCUGGAUGUGUAAUGUGUAAGGAGCUGCAUCAGAACUAAUAUAAGUCCUCCGAGCAAUUUGAGACUGUGGAGAGUGGUUGUCAGCGACAGUUGAAAUAUUUUGUGACGCAACAGUUUCAUUAAAUAAAGGCAAAGAGAUAUUCUGA